AACGAACGCUGGCGGCAGGCUUAACACAUGCAAGUCGAACGCGUGUAGCAAUACACGGGUGGCGCACGGGUGAGUAACGCGUGGAUAUCUGCCUUUUGGUUCGGAAUAACUCCGGGAAACUGGAGCUAAUACCGGAUGGUUCCUACGGGAUAAAGAUUUAUCGCCAAAAGAUGAGUCCGCGUACGAUUAGCUAGCUGGUGAGGUAAUGGCUCACCAAGGCGACGAUCGUUAGCUGGUCUGAGAGGACAAUCAGCCACACUGGGACUGAGACGCGGCCCAGACUCCUACGGGAGGCAGCAGUGGGGAAUAUUGGACAAUGGGGGCAACCCUGAUCCAGCCAUGCCGCGUGAGUGAUGAAGGCCUCGGUUGUAAG
rnacentral:rRNA from 1 species